AGUUUCAUGUGAAUCAGUACAUGUAAGCUAUCUCUAAAAUGAAGACUCAGAAGGUGUUUCAAGAGUUUCAGCCAAAACAAAGUUCAGUGCUUGAAAACCAUCAAGGAAGAAGGGCAUUAACAGUGUGUAAAUGCAAUGUAAGCGCAACUUACAACAGCACUAAGUUAACAGAAGAAAAAUGUACUUAGGAGCCUAGAAA